UACGUAGGCAGCAAACGUUGUUCGGAAUUACUGGGCGUAAAGAGUGUGUAGGCGGUCUUGUAAGUUCUGUGUGAAGUCUCCCGGCUUAACUGGGAGGGUGCGCCGAAAACUGCAAGGCUUGAGUGCUGGAGAGGAUAGCGGAAUUCCUGGUGUAGCGGUGAAAUGCGUAGAUAUCAGGAGGAACACCGGCGGUGUAGACGGCUAUCUGGACAGUAACUGACGCUGAGACACGAAAGCGUGGGGAGCAAACAGG
rnacentral:rRNA from 1 species